AAUUAAUCUUGAGUAAUAGAGAUGCUGUACCCCCUGACGGAGUGACCUUACUACCUGGAUCAUCCCACUAGGCAAGACAAGUUCAAAACUUUCCAUCCAAACACUUGCAUGGCAGUUGCUAUAAUAGGAUAUGAAUAUAGUUUUGCCUUGCCAGGGUGGUUCGGGGGGGGGGUAAGAUUUCCCCAGUACCCGGAGACCAUAUAGACAGGCCGUCGGAUUACU